GUGGGGAAUAUUGGGCAAUGGGCGAAAGCCUGACGCAGCCAUGCCGCGUGAAUGAUGAAGGUCUUAGGAUUGUAAAAUUCUUUCACCGGGGACGAUAAUGACGGUACCCGGAGAAGAAGCUCCGGCUAACUUCGUGCCAGCAGCCGCGGUAAUACGAAGGGGGCUAGCGUUGCUCGGAAUUACUGGGCGUAAAGGGCGCGUAGGCGGACAGCUUAGUCAGAGGUGAAAGCCCAGGGCUCAACCUUGGAAUUGCCUUUGAUACUGGCUGUCUUGAGUUUGGGAGAGGUGAGUGGAACUCCGAGUGUAGAGGUGAAAUUCGUAGAUAUUCGGAAGAACACCAGUGGCGAAGGCGACUCACUGGCCCAAUACUGACGCUGAGGCGCGAAAGCGUGGGGAGCAAACAGGAUUAGAAACCCGGGUAGUCC
rnacentral:rRNA from 1 species